UGCAAGGUGGCGCAGUUGGUAGCACUGUUGCUUUCCAGCAAGAAGGUCCUGGGUUCAACUCCCAGCUGGGGGUCUUUUUGCAU